rnacentral:misc_RNA from 1 species
CCGUUUUUAUUUUUCGCACGUCGUAAAAUUUUUUUUGCGCUACGCAUGUUUUCUAAAGAUAAUAAUAGUUUUUGAUUUUGUUUGCGAAGAAAAGAAUGUACGUACUUGGAAUGUACAGAUCGGCUUAAAAAAAUAAGCGUCAACAUCUUACAGUGCACCCAUUGAACCUAUGUUAUCAAGCAACUACCAUAACAAUCAGCAACAAACAUAAACUGCUUAUUCAAUCACUUAGGUGUAAAACAAACAUCGAUGACCGAUUUGUUAUUAAUGAACUGAACCGGCUCAUUUGAUAUCGAGUAAUGCUGACUCCACGAUUUGAACUCACGCAAACAGAAGGUGAAGUGAUCGUUACUGUUCAUGCUCCAUACGCUAAUAUUAAGGACACCGAAGUCUACGUCGAGGACUACGACUUGAGAUUUUACUCCACUCCUUAUUACCUAAGGUUGAAUCUUCCGGGGAAAAUCAUUGAAAAUGAUUCAUCAACAGGGUCUUAUGAUGCUGAAAAAGGUGAUUUUGUACUGCGAUUCUCUAAAGUCAACAAGGGAGAGGAAUUUCUCAAUUUAGACAUGAUAACGACUCUACUCGCUCCACCGAAAACGAAAAACCAGGUUGCACCCACCAUUGAAGUUAUUAGUAAUCCUGUGGUGAGCUUAUCAGAUGGAAUGAGCAAUGGUUUGGACUCUCAUAAAACUGAAUGUGAUUGUGAGGGCAACGGUGGCAAAGACGAGGAGAAAGAUGGAGAUGAAUGGUUUGUGGCUCAAAAUCCUCUUGAGGAAAAUAUUCAAGCUUCCAUAAAGCCUCCCACGUAUGGUUUUGCCAACAAAGUAUCCAAUGCCUUGGCAUCUUUCGAAGCAGGAUGGACUGGUGAAAUAAUAGACUUGCCAAUGCCUGAUUCAACGCCCUCGAUCGAGCGUUCUUCUUUACGGCAAAAACACGAAUUUGAACAUUUUAGCGAGGAACAUUACAUGGCUGAUUUAAUCCAAGAGGAAUACAUUAGGCCUUAUAUCGACUUUGAGGCAGAAUGGGAAAUGUUGAAGGGGACAGAAAUUAGUCUCAGUGACACGGAAAAAGAUCUGUUGAAAGAACUUCCCAACAAAUCAUAUCUGUUGGACAAACGAGAUAUAGAAAGGGUUUGUUGGGGAUUAGUAGAUAUUCUAUUCGGCAGUUGUUAUAACAACAGAACGACAAUGGGCGAAAAUACAGUAGAAAGUGGUUGGACCAUUAACAAAUUAAGCUCAACAUUGUGCUGGUUCCAGGAGUUUGAGAGUGCAGAGGAAGUUAUUACCGCCUGUAUAAGGAGAUCGUUAUGUUAUCCGUUGUACAGAAACUGGGAGUUAUCUCUGAAAGUAUUCGAGGAUGUUAAAAUCGUUGUCAGUUUAGGGAAAAAGUAUAUGCUGAAACGUUUGUGCGAAAUACAUGAGAUGUUCAACAAUUCCUACGAGCCUCGAUAUAUCCUAAAUCAGUUGUACGUAAAAGAUUACUUAAUUUGGUUGCAACAGACACCGAUCUCCACAUUCGAAUCUCUUGGUGCAAGUUUGAGCAUAGUGCGUCCGUCCAAGGUUGAAAUGGGAUUAGAUCUUGUUGAGUUGGAGGCAGCAGCUAUUUCGGUCCACGAAGAAGAUUUGGUUAUCGAAAAUGCCAUUCACGAAAUGAUCGAUGAAGUCGACAGCUUGGCGAUCAACGAUAACAAAGACAACAAGCCCAAGUGCACGUACACUAUGGAGAGCAAAAAAUUCUUAAACUAUUUGUUAAGAAGAGGUACUUCUAGUUCAUCAGAUAGCAGCGAUUCAGAUUCUGAAACAGAAUCCGAUAGCAGCAGUUCGAGCAGUAGUAGCAGCGACGGAAGCCUUGAUUCCGAUGACACCAGCGAAGUGGAAUGACAGUCCUGUAAAUCUGAUCAUUUAUCGCCAAAUCGACAUCAACGAAUUCGCUACGCCAUCGACGGUAAAUGUCAACCAACCUGGUUCAGAGCUUUUGCCUGUCUCAAAGAUCUGAUUAUAAUUGAUGGGGUCGACGAAAUCAUCGGAAUGAUAUCACUUUACGGAGAACGCGAUAAAAAUUAAUUAUGUGUGCAGUCGUCGCGAACACGGUAGCGGACGUGGCGGUAGAUUCGAAUACAAGCGAGAACGGAAAGGCGGGAAGAUGACGACGAGGAGAAGGAGGGCAACUUCUUUUCUAACUACGCAGCACUAAAAUAACUUCUAUUACGUGGACAUUCGCAUACGUUUAUAAUAAUAAUAAUAAUAAGAACAACAACAACAACAACAACAACAAUAAUAAUAAUAACGACACCACCAACAACAACAACAACAACAACAAUAAUAAUAAUACACAUGGUACGUGUAACGUAAAAAUUACGAUUACAAUAACUUGAAUGGUUAGGUGUUUACAGAUUAUACGUCAUGUAACAACGUAAAUAGUACAUGCUCAAUAUUAUCUGUUCAAUAUUUGUUGUUAUUUCAUACUACGAGAAUACGAGCAGUGAAAUAAUAUUAAUAACAACAACAACACCAACAA